rnacentral:RNase_P_RNA from 2 species
AGAGAGGGCCACGCAGCAGCGCUACGGCGAGGAAAGUCCGAACACCAUAGGGCAGGGUGCCGGGUAAUACCCGGGCGCCGUGAGGCGACGGAAAGUGCAACAGAAAAGACACCGCCGUGCUCAGGUACGGCAAGGGUGAAAUGGUGAGGUAAGAGCUCACCGCGCCCUCAGUAAUGUGGGCGGCACGGCAAACCCCACCUGGUGCAAGACCAAGCAAGCAGCCAUAUAAGAACGGCCCGUUCGAGGCUGUGGGUAGGUCGCACAGAGCCUCAUGGCGACAUGGGGCCAAGAUAGAUUGCUGCAUAAACAGAAUUCGGCUUAUGUCCCUCUCUGCUA